CCUUAUCAUCCCACCCCACCAAACCCACCUUCCCCGGUCAAACCCCACCCACCACCUUCUCUCUCUCGCCUACCUCCCACAACCACCGCGCCGCCUCUUAGUCCAGGGCGCCGCGCUCCCCUCUCCCCCACCUCACCCCACAACGCCGCCACUCCCCCAGCCAAGGCCACCCGCCACUCGGCCACGCGCCUCCCCUGACCGGCCUUCUUCCAGAGGCCCGACGACGGGUCGCCGCAACAAGCCCACCCACCACCUCCCUCUGUCGCCGGCCAGGGCGACCGCCGCCUACCCGCGCCACCCCGGCUCCAACUCCGCGCCAUCCACCUCCACAUCAAACGGCGGCGCGCCGCCCAGCCCCAACCGCGAGAUCCACGCGACGACGAUCGGUCCACCAUGGCGUCGAGCGCCUCCUUCCCUCGGCGUCGACUGGAUCCAUCCACCCCUACCGGAUCCGAGCCUUCUCACUGCCGGAUCCCCUUCCUCCUCUCUAACAUAAGAUGAAGGCGCGCGGGAUGGGCAGAGGGAGGAGGGAGUGUGCUCCCUCGGCCGUCCCACCGUCGAUUAGCCGGCCCACUGCUCAGGUUGUGCAGUUCGAGAGGAGUGAUCCUGCAGUGCGGGAGAUCAUGGGUGUGCAGUUUUUUUGCCUCAUAUUUUUGGUGUACAGAUGAAUGUGUGGUUGUAUGCGUUUUGACUGUGGGUGUGCAGUUCUUUUUUCUUCAAUUUUUUGCUUGAUUUGUGUAGGGCAGUUAGCUUGGGUGCCAGUUGCAUUCCGGAUUCUUUCUGUGUGUUCUUCAUCAAUUCGUGAAAGUGUAUGGCAACGACCACACCCCAGUUCAUGGUGGUGCUUGAGACCGGGACAGCCCCCUCGACGGCUGUUCAACUCUAUGCUCGGCAGCCUCGUGCAAGCACGACGAGGCAUCCCACCGGUGGCGUUGCCGUGCAAUUGAGGUAGUGCUCUUGCGCAACUCCCAGUCCACCUCGAUGUCGUCCACACUGCAGGGCAGAUCAGGCAAGAACAGGGGCAUCACCGGCUAAUCGGCCAUAGGCUCGCUCUCCACCUCUCUCGAGUGGCCAUCGUCGUGCAGCUCGGCUACAAGACGCAUGCAGUGAACAGCGCGAGGGAUAGCGGUGAGACUGUCAUAUGCUAGCGGUGCAGUGCGCCUCCACAAGCAGUUCUGUCGGUGUGUGUGCCCUUUUAAAACUGCAGUGCAGUUUAUUUUUUUAGAAUUGAUCCACAAAAUGCAGUUUUGGCGCAGCUAAGUUCUUUUCUUUUUUGCUACGGAAGUAAAGUUUUCUUGCGAACGCAGCUCAAUUGCUCGUUAGUGUGCCCCGACACUGCACUGUGAAUUUUCUGUUGCAAUUCACUCUGCAUAAUUUUUUUUGCUUCAGUCCAGUGGCGUGGCCCGUGUGCAAGGUGGUGUGGUUUGAUGUCAUGCAGGCUGCAAUUUUGUAUAUUUUUGAGUGGUGCGGUUUUGUAUCAGUGGAAGUGCAGCCCGUAGACCUUUAGCGACCUGAUUGUUUUUUUUCUUAAUUUUGCUUCGGUUUCACUUGUUCAUAAUAUAUUCAAACAUCAUGUAGUUCACUGUGAAAA